rnacentral:lncRNA from 10 species
AGAAAUUGGAAAAGUUGUGGCAUCACGUGAGGAAAGAUGCAAUUAUGCAACUUACUUCCCCCCAAAUCAGUAACUGUAGGCUGAAACACUGUUUUAUUUUCCAUUUUACCUUGAGAUAAACACACUUUGGGAAAAAAAAAAUUUUAAUAUAUAUUGAACCCUAAAAUAGUUCGAUUUUAAAAAAAUUGUCACUGUGAUGGAUUGUAUUUUUAGCAGUGUUUCCUUCCAUUUACAUAAUUAUUUGACAGGUGACUUUUAGCAUUAAAUUUAUUUUAUGACUAUUGCCUGAUAUUUACAGGUUAAUUUUCUUUAUGGGAUUACUGUUUCACAAGUGGCUCAUGGAGGCAGUUUUUAAAAAAUCUGUCUUAAGCUCUAAAUGCUUAAGAAAGGCUGUGAAAUCUUUCCACACAAGUACACACACAUGCAUGCACAAACACACAUUUAUCUAUCUAUAUGUCUUUCUUACAGAUUAUGAACCAGUCUAGCAUCAGAUAGCAUCAUUGGAUUCGAGGUAAAUGAAAUAAAUGCUUUGUAUGAAGCACUGAAAAUUUGGGAAUGUUCAUCUUCUUAAUAAUUGCCUGCCAAAUUCAGCAAGAAAAAAAAUACAAUGGGCCUAUAAAAAUGCAAAGGUAAACUUAAGGUUCAUCUUUAAGACGUUAUAAAUGAAAUAUUGGAAGUGAUUAGAAUAUAGAGAAUGAUUUAAAAAGUCUCCAAUUCCCAGAGUUUUUGCUUAGGUAGACAUUUUAUAAAAUAAUCCCUUGAAAUUUGUUUCACUUCCCGAAAAUGGAUUUUACAGUGACUCCUUUUCUUUAGUUUCUGCCAGGACUUAAUGGAAUCUCUCUGUUAUCUCUAAAUGGAAAUACACUUAAAGAAACUAAUUCUGUAAAACGUUUCUGUUAAAUGAAACACUUAACCAGUACAAUUACUCAAGAUUAUAUUGCUGAAUCUGACUAUCUCCUUAGUGCAUGAAGUUAUUACUUACACAGCUCAAAAUGCUGGCAGCAACAGAGCUUUCUGAAUUUUACCACCAUACUUUUAAGUUGAUCCUAAAACAUUAUACAUUUCAAAUCAUUUGAUACAAUAAUUGGAGAUAUGGAGAUGGCUCUACCCAUUAGGAUACCGAUUGGUAUUCAAGUGUCCUAGAUGUAUAUGAAUGAAACGUCCAGAUCCCCUCCCCAGGAUGUGUGGAUGUUUAACUCUUUAGUGGUGAAAUAGUACUGCUGAUCAUCUCAAAUCAGUAGCACAUUUCUUAAUCAUUCCUAAAAAGUUCUCCACGUUUUCAGUUUCUGAGUUUUCAGAAACAUAGUUAACAUUCUGAAAAAAACAUGUAAAUGUCAUAUCCAGUUUUGUAAAAACACAAUUUAAAAGAUCUAAAUCUUACAUAUCAAUGUAUGCAGAUAAGAUACUCAGGGGCAAAAUGGACCUAAUGCUCAUCUCUGGCUCAGCAAAGCUCAUGAAAAGGUUUAGUUUUGAUUCUUUAAAUUAGAUGAAAUUCUGAAGGAAAAUGUGCUCUCAUUGGCAAAUAGAAACAUUAUUAAAAAGCAUGUGAGUGGCUAGUUCCACACAAUAGUCAGGAAAACAGAUAGUUGCCUUUUGUGUUUCAGACUGAAACCACUUCAAUAAGAUGAGCAUUUCCUACUAAAAUACUAGUUCUCGUGCCAAUAAGCCUGGGUCUAGAGGAUUUUCAAAGGUUAUCAUUUCAUUCCAGCAAAAAUAUUAUCCACUUCUUCUAUUAGGUAGACAUUGAAAGUGAUUGUUGUAUCUUUGGAUUAAGCUAUAUUAAAAUGGAAGCAGCAGCUGAAUGGGUUAGGUUUAGAAUAAGCCAAUAUUAGAAAGAGAAGCCAAAGGGUCAUUUUCAUUCUAUGGAGCUAUAUAUAGGGGGGAGAGCUCCCAAUCCACUUUUAAAAUUAUUUUCUCAAAGUCACUUCCUCUUUUUGCAACCCCCCAUUUUUCUUAAAUAGCAAGAGUAAGAAUAUCUUGUGAGAAGCAUUAAAAUAAAAUCAGGCAAAUUGGAAAACUUAAAAUAUGUAUGAGUGCACAUGUGAGUGUGAAUCUGUGUGUGUUUUUAAUAAAUAUACUCUUUAGUCUUUAAUUGUACAUCUUGAUCUUUGUUGAAAAUAGUGUUUUUUAAAACAUAUUCACAUAUUGAAACAACAACUUCAAGAAGAGGUUUCUUAUCCCCAAGCAAAAUUGUUAGUUCCUUCCAUAUGUGAGAUAAAAUAGUUGACAAUGUAAAUUAGUCGUAUAGCUGUUUAAAGCAAAUUCCCAUCUUACUCAAUUCUAUUUAAAGUACUAAAUUUGUAAUUAAACUUGGUGAUCCUCUGGCAAUAUGACACAUAAACCAAUAAUUUUAUGUUGCAUUUUCUGUAUAAAUUGUCUUUUUAAACUAUACUGUGGCUAAGUAAAUUGCACUAUUGUACAUGCAAAGCAGCUUUUUUAGGUUAUUCAAUAAAUUACUUGGACUGUAGUUCAAUGCAAUAAUAUUUUUUUCGAUAAAAAGCUUAAUGAUAUAGGAGUGUUAGUCAUGUAUUUCUAACAAAAAGCAUACCAAAAUAUAAGAACAAACUCAAAUGCAAAAUGGUGUGGAAAUAUUCUGUGUUUUACACUGCUGAAUUAAAGUGCAUUUAUCAUUUUAUUUAUUACUGUAUGUAUUUAUAUUAUAUAUUUAAAGGCUGGGAUUUCUUAGACUA